rnacentral:rRNA from 3 species
UUAACCGUAUAGGGGAGCCGGAGGGAAACCGAGUCUUAAUUGGGCGUUAAGUUGCAGGGUAUAGACCCGAAACCCGGUGAUCUAGCCAUGGGCAGGUUGAAGGUUGGGUAACACUAACUGGAGGACCGAACCGACUAAUGUUGAAAAAUUAGCGGAUGACCUGUGGCUGGGGGUGAAAGGCCAAUCAAACCGGGAGAUAGCUGGUUCUCCCCGAAAGCUAUUUAGGUAGCGCCUCGUGAAUUCAUCUCCGGGGGUAGAGCACUGUUUCGGCUAGGGGGCCAUCCCGGCUUACCAACCCGAUGCAAACUGCGAAUACCGGAGAAUGUUAUCACGGGAGACACACGGCGGGUGCUAACGUCCGUCGUGAAGAGGGAAACAACCCAGACCGCCAGCUAAGGUCCCAAAGUCAUGGUUAAGUGGGAAACGAUGUGGGAAGGCCCAGACAGCCAGGAUGUUGGCUUAGAAGCAGCCAUCAUUUAAAGAAAGCGUAAUAGCUCACUGGUCGAGUCGGCCUGCGCGGAAGAUGUAACGGGGCUAAACCAUGCACCGAAGCUGCGGCAGCGA